UACGUAGGUGGCAAGCGUUGUCCGGAUUUACUGGGUGUAAAGGGCGUGCAGCCGGGAGUGCAAGUCAGAUGUGAAAUCCCGCGGCUCAACCGCGGAACUGCAUUUGAAACUGUGCUUCUUGAGUGCUGGAGAGGCAGACGGAAUUCCUAGUGUAGCGGUGAAAUGCGUAGAUAUUAGGAGGAACACCAGUGGCGAAGGCGGCCGCCUGGCCUGUUACUGACGCUGAGGCACGAAAGCGUGGGGAGCAAAUAGG
rnacentral:rRNA from 1 species